CAGCGGCUGCAGUGUUGCGUCCCGUCAGGCUCUACUUUGUUGAACACUAAGCUGGACACAUAUCUCUCCAGCGCUUCAGAGACGUCGCUGGCGCCGAAAUUCUAGCUGUUUCACCGUGGGUCGCC